rnacentral:rRNA from 1 species
CCUACGUGAGGCAGCAGUAGGGAAUCUUCCACAAUGGGCGAAAGCCUGAUGGAGCAACGCCGCGUGGGUGAAGAAGGUCUUCGGAUCGUAAAACCCUGUUGUUAGAGAAGAAAGUGCGUGAGAGUAACUGUUCACGUUUCGACGGUAUCUAACCAGAAAGCCACGGCGAACUACGUGCCAGCAGCCGCGGUAAUACGGAGGUGGCAAGCGUUAUCCGGAUUUAUUGGGCGUAAAGAGAACGCAGGCGGUCUUUUAAGUCUGAUGUGAAAGCCUUCGGCUUAACCGGAGUAGUGCAUUGGAAACUGGGAGACUUGAGUGCAGAAGAGGAGAGUGGAACUCCAUGUGUAGCGGUGAAAUGCGUAGAUAUAUGGAAGAACACCAGUGGCGAAAGCGGCUCUCUGGUCUGUAACUGACGCUGAGGUUCGAAAGCGUGGGUAGCAAACAGGAUUAGAUACCCCAGUAGUC